UGCCAGGGGCCAAAUGUGGAAGUGAAAGCAUCUGAAUUCUAUAUAAAAAUUCAAAGGGAAGACAGAGGGUCUCUUACUCAUUCAGAUUAUUUAUUAAGAGCAAAAGUCGGGCCAUCCCAUCGUGUGAUAUUGCAACAUGAAAAGUCACAUACAUACUAAGGAGACCCCACAGAAUUGAGAGCCUUUCAACAGUACAGAGCCAUAGAUUACGAAGUUAAAAUACAAAUGAUCCCCCAGAUUUGGCAGGAAACAAGUACAAUAUGAGGAGGCCUGGAAUGGAAGGGCACUUACUUUUCAAUAAGGCAGUUACAAAAUGGGAAAAAAAACCCCCAAAACCUUGUACCCCAAAAUAUACUCUGAUGAGCGUAGCAGACAAUAGAAAUGUAAAAGAAGGAUCCUGUAUAACCCUCUGUCAUUGGCAAAUGUGUGCAUUAAGUGAAAGCAACUGAAGGGUUUGUGUUUUAAGAUGCAAGCUAGAUGAAACAACUGACUGUAGACAUUUCUACCUCAAGAACAGUUCAUAUCUUGCCCUAGGCUGGGUUCUACCUCAAAACACCAGACCCACUUUACCAUUUCUAACCAUAAACUUGGAAACAGUCUAUAAUACAAUGAAAGGAAUAAAAAGGCACCCCUAGAGCACCAUGCUUCCCAAGGCAGUCAUUUUGCAAAACUCAACUGGCCUAAACAUUUCGCUCAAUCUUGAGUUCUGCAGGUUGGUCCCUGAGAGCUAGGUUGGCCUUGGGAAUUUCUGCUCAAUUUUAAGUUCUCAAGAAUCUGAGGGCAGCCGAUUUAGACUGAAUUAGAGUCAUCCUAUAGGUCAGAAAGAAAGAAUGCUAGACAGGUCAAGAGGGCCAGAGGUUGGUUCUGAUAAUGCCAUAUGACCUCAGGCACAUCUUUUUGAGUUUUAGUUUCCCCAUCUCUAAAAACGGAUGAUUGGACAACAGCAAGCUUAACAGACUUUCCACCUUGAAAAUACGGCACUUCUCUGACGCUUAGACCUUAAGUCCUGAAGCGUUGUUUUCUCAGCAAAAACAGUGCAAAGUCCUUACAGGAAUCUAAGGUACAAGCCCUGGGCAACCAUGAAAACUUUAAACUUCAUGCAAAGCAACGAAGUUAUAAAUUCUCCAACAAGGAACUGAGUGGACUAAUACUCAGGGGUAAGGACAGUGUACCAAAGUGUCCAUGUCCUAGCAUUGUUUCUUUCCAAAAGGCAAACGCUAUGCUUUGGGACAGUGCCAGCAAUUAGGUGCUUUGCCAAAAAUAACUUGUCCCAUGUGGCCCCCAUGGGGCAGAGACUAAGAUGGAAAUUACAGAGAACAUAGAAAAGCCAGAGGUUUACAAAGAACAGGCUUCUCCACGAGGUAGUGGGUUCUCUGUCCUCGGAGGUGUUUAAGUCCAGACUGCUCAACCCCUUGGUGGGAUGGUUGUAGGCAGAAUGUCAGCACCUAUGUGGAGACUAGACUGGAUGACUUAACAGCCCUUUCCCAACUUUGAGAUCCUGUCAUUGUAAUGACUGAGAGCGCCUUUGGAUGACUUCCAUGAAGCAACUGCUCUGGGCAACAGCCUCCCUCAAUAGGCAAGGCCCCCAGAGUAAGCUCCUUCUUCCAUCCUCUCCCUCCCAACAGGCAGUUGCCCUGCAGGAUAUUAACAAAAAGCUUCCCACAAAAUAAAAAGCCUAAACACCAAAAUUAGAUGCAACACUGCAGCUGCAAACAAUUGUUACUAUCUGUUCUCUGAAAGGCUAGCAGUGACUAUUUAGCUAUGACAGGAACAUCUAAAAACUUGGCAGCUGUAACAUGUAAGUAAAAUUCCUCUUCAUUUUACAACACCGGUCUUGAAUCCUUUGGUUUUUAAUCUUUCAUGAGAUUCAGCUGUGAUCUUUUUUUUUAUAUGCUGUUGCCAACCUAAGAGUUUGUUCCUUGAAGCAAGAAGUUUGUCCAUUGGUUUUUAAAACAUCUUAAAACAACAUGAAUGGCAGGAUACUGAUGUUUCCAUGUGAGAACCUUCAGGGCAUAUCAAAGAACCAUACCAGGCUGGAACUGAGGCAGGAACCAUACUCUUUAAGAAGACAACGCCAGUUCUGGAUUUCAAAUUCCAGUUUUGCCCAGAAGCACCAAGAGGAAAGAAGGCAAUGCUGCUACGUCACAGGUGGAGAGAAGCGCAAGAGUCCUUGAUGGAUGGUAUAAAAAUGGAGCAGCCAAGAUGAACAUUGCUUUCCCCACACCCCACUGCUCCCUGAAGCCAGACCCCGUUGCUCUGGAGGGCCUGGCCACUUCUCACAGGCAGGAGUCCCUUGCCCACAGAUAGAGCCACCAGAAACUGCAGAAGAGGCUAAGGCGAGUGGUUUAGUGGUUUGAUGAAAGAACAGAUUUCUGGACAUAAGAAAAACAUAGGUUCAAAUAGCUUUGUCUUUUCUCUCACCUGACCUGUUGAAAGGUCAGAUUGAAAAGGUUGAAAAGAUGCCCACAACCUCCACUUUCCACAAGCACCUCUCCUUAGAGGAAAGACAAGGGACCCAAGUACACACACAGCAUCUGGCUGAAGGUAAAACAUUUCCCCAGGUUUCGCUUUGGAAUAAAGAUUCUUUCAGACACAAUUGAACAGAUGGAUCCUACCAUCAUAUAUUCUUGUGCAGAAGCUAUUGUCUCUCUCAACUGGGAAAACAGAUUUGCUGCUAAAGAAAUAGUGAUGUGACCUACACGCCCACAAUUCUGGUUUACGUAUCAGAAAAAUACACUUUUUUACUCAUUAAGAUAUGGACAUUUCCAUGGAGCAAGUUAACAAUGCCUUAACCUGCAGGCCCCAUCUGCCCCUCAGCCUUCUUGAUGCCUGUAUCAACAUCCUUCAGCUGUAAGCAGGGAGAGAAUCUCUAAACACAUAGUGAAUGUGAAUGACUGAAAACACUCACAGAGCACUGGACAUGCCAUCCACAGCCAGGAGGCAUACCAAAAUAGGAUGCCCUCACAGUCCAGAGUAUAUUCUAUAUACAACCAUUUAUAUAUAUUUAAUUUAAAAGGCUGCAAUCUGCUAGACAUGCAUUUUGAACACAGGCGAAAGCUUUGCUGCAAUGGAACAUACUGCAUUUUAGUGAGCGUGGUGACCCUGUCCCCAUUCCACAGAAAGCGUGGUACUCUGCUCCACAGAACUGAGACCUUUGGACACUCCGCCGCCCUGCUCAGUAGGGGGUUUAGUCCUGACUUCUCUGUGAUGGUGCUCAGAUUAAGUCAUCUGUGAAACUCUCUGCCAGGCCAGGCUGUCCAUUGUUCUUAUUAUUUAAGGCUUAAGAAAUUAACUCAGAAUUGAAACUGAGUAGGAAAAUGACACCUUUGACCAUAUGUCAAGAUGGUCAUAAAUUAGAAUCCAAAUUCUUUUCUUUUCUUUCUCCCACCCUCCUACCCCAUACCCUCUGCCCUCCAUUACACAGAUUAAAGAAUUUUGCAAAAGCACAUUUUUGGAUAUAAAGCUUUGUUUUCACAGGAUACUUUGGCUCUGAUAUAAUUAGAUUGAGGAGUUCAACGUUUUGAACAACAAAAAAAUUAGGUAAUUUUCAAAAAUUAUUUUAGCAAUCUUUCUCCCUAAGAGGGAGGCAAAUUGUUCACAAAAAUGAGCAUCAGAUGGAAUUGACCUUUGUUGCCCAAACUCAUGAUUUGCUGAUGACCAGAGCCCAGGGAGUCAAGGCCAGCCAGACUUUCAAUCCUAAGCUGAACUUCUGGGCAGGAAUCACAUGGCCCCUGGCAGCUUGCAUGGUGGUUGUGAACUUAGGAUGAAAACUUCUAAAAAUACUUGCCCCAACCUACUAAAUAUGUCAGUGUGUCAAUGCAUUUAUUACCAAGAAGCUUGGCUGAAGUCAUAAUAUCUAACUGCACCCCAAAGAGUGAAGCAUAGUGGGGUGCAUAAGGGACCGUAUCUUCUGUGAGGGUCUCUAUAUCAGUGUUUCUGGAACCUCAACGAAUAGUUUUGCACAUGCAACUGUCCUGAAAUCCUUAUCUGAUCAGAAACUUCCUUGUUGGUGCAUCAGGAUUUCCUCCACAUUCUAGCAGUUAAGUGGUGAGCAACAGAAAUGGCAGAGGUCUCAGUCAUGAGAGGUGUGAAGCGGAUGUUACAAGGCUGGCACUAUUAGUGACAGCUCAAUUAGCCAAUACCUACUGAUUGAGUGCCUACUGUGUACAAGGCACAGGGUGAGUGAGGGGGACCAGUGUCAAACUGAUCUGCUGAUAAAUGACAAAGCUUGCAACAAAGCGGGCGGGAUAUCUAUGUCGCCAGCGGGCAGCAUGCAAGUCCAGAUGUGGGUCUGCUCAUGCACUUCCAUGGCCAAUUGCACCUUGCUGCUAUUCCAAGCUACAGCUCACACGUGGCAGCCUGGUGGAUAAGGUGAUUACCAAAAUAUUUCUUAUCCCACAUUUCCAGUAGAAUUGAUUUAAUGCUUUGUUGAAUGCUGAAAUACAUAGUUUUUAAUU
rnacentral:lncRNA from 10 species